AGUGAACGCUGGCGGUAGGCCUAACACAUGCAAGUCGAACGGCAGCACAGUAAGAGCUUGCUCUUACGGGUGGCGAGUGGCGGACGGGUGAGGAAUACAUCGGAAUCUACUUUUUCGUGGGGGAUAACGUAGGGAAACUUACGCUAAUACCGCAUACGACCUACGGGUGAAAGCAGGGGAUCUUCGGACCUUGCCCGAUUGAAUGAGCCGAUGUCGGAUUAGCUAGUUGGCGUGGUAAAGUCCCACCAAGGCGACGAUCCGUAGCUGGUCUGAGAGGAUGAUCAGCAACACUGGAACUGAGAAACGGUCCAGACUCCUAGGGGAGGCAGCAGUGGGGAAUAUUGGACAAUGGGCGCAAGCCUGAUCCAGCCAUACCGCGUGGGUGAAGAAGGCCUUCGGGUUGUAAAGCCCUUUUGUUGGGAAAGAAAAGCAGCAGGUUAAUACCCCGCUGUUCUGACGGUACCCAAAGAAUAAGCACCGGCUAACUUCGU
rnacentral:rRNA from 1 species